rnacentral:tRNA from 1 species
CAGGCGGUGGCGCGCUGGCAGCGCAGCGGCUUUGUCUCGGGCGCGGAGCAGUUGCAACUCAACCGCACGGUGCAAGCCCUGCGCCGCCUGGCCA